CUUCGGGCGGGAGGACAGUGGCGAAGGGUGAGUACACGUGAGUAUCUGCUCCGGGUCGGGGACAGCCCGCGGAAACGCGGAUUAUACCCGACGAACCCCUCGGGGUAAAGAGGAAUCGCCCGGAGAUGAGCUCGCGGGCCAUCAGCUGGUUGGCGGGGUAACGGCCCACCAAUGCGACGACGGGUAGGUGGUCUGAGAGGAUGGUCACCCACACUGUGACUGAGACACUGCCCAGACUCCUACGGGAGGCUGCAGUCGAGAAUCAUCCGCAAUGGGCGAAAGCCUGACGGUGCAAUGCCGCGUGGGGGAUGAAGGCCUUCGGGUCGUAAACCCCUGUCAGAAGGGACGAAGCAAGUGACGGUACCUUCAGAGGAAGCCACGGCUAACUACGUGCCAGCAGCCGCGGUAAUACGUAGGUGGCGAGCGUUAUUCGGAUUUACUGGGCGUAAAGGGUCCGCAGGGGGUUUGCCAAGUCCGGUGUGAAAGUCCAGGGCUCAACCCUGGAACUGCGCCGGAUACUGGUGAACUGGAGUGCGCGAAGGGCAGGCGGAAUUCCUGGUGUAGCGGUGGAAUGCGUGGAUAUCAGGAAGAACACCGACGGCGAAAGCGGCCUGCUGGCGCGCCACUGACCCUCAUGGACGAAAGCGUGGGGAGCAAACAGGAUUAGAUACCCUGGUAGUCCACGCUGUAAACGGUGCAGACCCGAUGCGGGGGGCAGCCCCCUCCGUGUCCAAGCCAACGCGUUAAGUCUGCCGCCUGGGGACUACGGUCGCAAGGCUAAAACUCAAAGGAAUUGACGGGGGCCCGAACAAGCGGUGGAGCAUGUGGU
rnacentral:rRNA from 1 species